AUUGAACGCUGGCGGCAGGCCUAACACAUGCAAGUCGAGCGGAUGAAGGGAGCUUGCUCCUGGAUUCAGCGGCGGACGGGUGAGUAAUGCCUAGGAAUCUGCCUGGUAGUGGGGGAUAACGUCCGGAAACGGGCGCUAAUACCGCAUACGUCCUGAGGGAGAAAGUGGGGGAUCUUCGGACCUCACGCUAUCAGAUGAGCCUAGGUCGGAUUAGCUAGUUGGUGGGGUAAAGGCCUACCAAGGCGACGAUCCGUAACUGGUCUGAGAGGAUGAUCAGUCACACUGGAACUGAGACACGGUCCAGACUCCUACGGGAGGCAGCAGUGGGGAAUAUUGGACAAUGGGCGAAAGCCUGAUCCAGCCAUGCCGCGUGUGUGAAGAAGGUCUUCGGAUUGUAAAGCACUUUAAGUUGGGAGGAAGGGCAGUAAGGUAAUACCUUGCUGUUUUGACGGUACCAACAGAAUAAGCACCGGCUAACUUCGUG
rnacentral:rRNA from 1 species